rnacentral:rRNA from 1 species
UACGUAGGGGGCUAGCGUUGUCCGGAAUCAUUGGGCGUAAAGAGCGUGUAGGCGGCCCGGUAAGUCCGCUGUGAAAGUCGGGGGCUCAACCCUCAAAUGCCGGUGGAUACUGUCGGGCUAGAGUGCGGAAGAGGCGAGUGGAAUUCCUGGUGUAGCGGUGAAAUGCGCAGAGUAUCAGGAGGAACACCGAUUGCGAAGGCAGCUCGCUGGGACGUUACUGACGCUGAGAACGCGAAAGCGUGGGGAGCAAACAGG